AAAACGACUCUCGGCAAUGGAUAUCUAGGCUCUCGCAUCGAUGAAGAACGUAGCGAAAUGCAAUACUUGGUGUGAAUUGCAGAAUCCCGCGAAUCAUCGAGUUUUUGAAUGCAAGUUGCACCCGAAGCCAUUCGGCCGAGGGCACGUUUGCCUGGGUGUCACGC
rnacentral:rRNA from 1 species